rnacentral:rRNA from 1 species
UACGGAGGAUGCAGGCGUUAUCCGGAUUUAUUAGGUUUAAAGGGUGCGUAGGCGGGCCUUUAAGUCAGUGGUGAAAGUUUGCGGCUUAACCGUAAAAUUGCCAUUGAAACUGGAGGCCUUGAGUAUACAGGAAGUAGGCGGAAUGUGUAGUGUAGCGGUGAAAUGCUUAGAUAUUACACAGAACACCGAUUGCGAAGGCAGCUUACUAUAGUAUAACUGACGCUGAUGCACGAAAGCGUGGGGAGCGAACAGG